rnacentral:rRNA from 1 species
UACGUAGGGUGCGAGCGUUAAUCGGAAUUACUGGGCGUAAAGCGUGCGCAGGCGGUGAUGUAAGACAGUUGUGAAAUCCCCGGGCUCAACCUGGGAACUGCAUCUGUGACUGCAUCGCUGGAGUGCGGCAGAGGGGGAUGGAAUUCCACGUGUAGCAGUGAAAUGCGUAGAGAUGUGGAGGAACACCGAUGGCGAAGGCAGCCCCCUGGGCUAACACUGACGCUCAGGCACGAAAGCGUGGGGAGCAAACAGG